rnacentral:rRNA from 1 species
UACGUAGGGUGCAAGCGUUAAUCGGAAUUACUGGGCGUAAAGCGUGCGCAGGCGGUUUUGUAAGUCUGACGUGAAAUCCCCGGGCUCAACCUGGGAAUUGCGUUGGAGACUGCAAGGCUGGAGUCUGGCAGAGGGGGGUAGAAUUCCACGUGUAGCAGUGAAAUGCGUAGAGAUGUGGAGGAACACCGAUGGCGAAGGCAGCCCCCUGGGUCAAAACUGACGCUCAUGCACGAAAGCGUGGGGAGCAAACAGG